GAAAGGAAAUAGAUUUAUGAAAUUUAAAAAUAAUAAAGUACACAUAAAUAUAUAUAUAAAUACCCACAAGAGACAAAACCCACCAACCCUCUUCUUCUUCCUCUUCUCUCUCCCUCCUUGCCGUCUCCCUUAGUGUCUCCCUCCCUCCAUUUUUGUUCUUCUUAAAGCUUGAUUUUCCAAGCUUUCUCCUCCCCAAAACCCAUAGACCCCUUCACAAAAAAUUUAGCCCACACCAUAAGGAAGCUUUAGAUACCCAUUAGAAGAAGAAAGAUUAAAGUUUGAAGUGGGUCACAAGAGGUACUGGAGAUCAGCCGCAGCAGCAGCACCAGUAGUACACUGAUAGAGCUUUGAUCAGAUCUGCCAUUGUCUAGAGUCACCUCACCGGUCUGUUGUAUUUUGGUAGGGCCCAUGUAUAGACUAGUAUUUUGGUUCAUUAUGUUUAGUCAUGAUGUAAUUACUAGUUUAUGAUGUAUUUCAUUUUGGACUUGUAAUUAAACUUUGAGAUUGAAAUGAAAACUUGUAAUUUAUUAUCUAUGAAUUUCUAUAUGAAUGCAAUAGAUAAUACUUCA